AGUGAACGCUGGCGGUAGGCCUAACACAUGCAAGUCGAACGGCAGCACAGUAAGAGCUUGCUCUUACGGGUGGCGAGUGGCGGACGAGUGAGGAAUACAUCGGAAUCUACUUUUUCGUGGGGGAUAACGUAGGGAAACUUACGCUAAUACCGCAUACGACCUACGGGUGAAAGCAGGGGAUCUUCGGACCUUGCGCGAUUGAAUGAGCCGAUGUCGGAUUAGCUAGUUGGCGGGGUAAAGGCCCACCAAGGCGACGAUCCGUAGCUGGUCUGAGAGGAUGAUCAGCCACACUGGAACUGAGACACGGUCCAGACUCCUACGGGAGGCAGCAGUGGGGAAUAUUGGACAAUGGGCGAAAGCCUGAUCCAGCCAUGCCGCGUGGGUGAAGAAGGCCUUCGGGUUGUAAAGCCCUUUUGUUGGGAAAGAAAAGCAGCAGGUUAAUACCCCGCUGUUCUGACGGUACCCAAAGAAUAAGCACCGGCUAACUUCGUG
rnacentral:rRNA from 1 species